AUUGAACGCUGGCGGCAGGCUUAACACAUGCCAGUCGAGCGGUAGCACAGGGGAGCUUGCUCCCUGGGUGACGAGCGGCGGACGGGUGAGUAAUGUCUGGGAAACUGCCUGAUGGAGGGGGAUAACUACUGGAAACGGUAGCUAAUACCGCAUAACGUCGCAAGACCAAAGAGGGGGACCUUCGGGCCUCUUGCCAUCAGAUGUGCCCAGAUGGGAUUAGCUAGUAGGUGGGGUAAUGGCUCACCUAGGCGACGAUCCCUAGCUGGUCUGAGAGGAUGACAGGCCAACCGGGAAUGAGAACAGGGCCCAACCCCCUACGGGGGGGAGGAGGGGGGAAUUUUGCACAAGGGGGGAAAGCCUAAUGCAGCCAGGCCGGGGGGGGAAAAAAGGCCUUCGGGUUGUAAAGCACUUUCAGCGGGGGGGAAGGGGGGGAGCUUAAAACGUUCAUCAAUUGACUUUACUCGCAAAAGAAGCACCGGCUAACCCCGU
rnacentral:rRNA from 1 species